UAGCUCACUGGUCGAGUGACCCCGCGCCGAAAAUGUACCGGGGCUAAACAUAUUACCGAAACUGUGGAUGAACCUCUUUAGAGGUUCGUGGUAGGAGAGCGUUCUAAGGGCGGUGAAGUCAGACCGGAAGGACUGGUGGAGCGCUUAGAAGUGAGAAUGCCGGUAUGAGUAGCGAAAGAAGGGUGAGAAUCCCUUCCACCGAAUAUCUAAGGUUUCCUGAGGAAGGCUCGUCCGCUCAGGGUUAGUCGGGACCUAAGCCGAGGCCGAUAGGCGUAGGCGAUGGACAACAGGUAGAGAUUCCUGUACCAGUGCUAAUUGUUUAACCGAUGGGGUGACACAGAAGGAUAGGGAAUCGCACGAAUGGAAAUGUGCGUCCAAGCAGUGAGUGUGAGAAGUAGGCAAAUCCGCUUCUCGCGAAGCAUGAGCUGUGAUGGGGAAGGAAAUUAAGUACGGAAGUUCCUGAUUUCACGCUGUCAAGAAAAGCCUCUAGGAAGAGUAGUACUGCCCGUACCGCAAACCGACACAGGUAGAUGAGGAGAGAAUCCUAAGGUGAGCGAGAGAACUCUCGUUAAGGAACUCGGCAAAAUGACCCCGUAACUUCGGGAGAAGGGGUGCUCUAUUAGGGUGCAAGCCCGAGAGAGCCGCAGUGAAUAGGCCCAGGCGACUGUUUAGCAAAAACACAGGUCUCUGCAAAACCGUAAGGUGACGUAUAGGGGCUGACGCCUGCCCGGUGCUGGAAGGUUAAGAGGAGUGCUUAGCUUCGGCGAAGGUACGAAUUGAAGCCCCAGUAAACGGCGGCCGUAACUAUAACGGUCCUAAGGUAGCGAAAUUCCUUGUCGGGUAAGUUCCGACCCGCACGAAAGGCGCAACGAUCUGGGCACUGUCUCAACGAGAGACUCGGUGAAAUUAUAGUACCUGUGAAGAUGCAGGUUACCCGCGACAGGACGGAAAGACCCCGUGGAGCUUUACUGCAACCUGAUAUGGAAUGUUUGUACCGCUUGUACAGGAUAGGUAGGAGCCGAAGAGACGUGUGCGCUAGCAUACGAGGAGGCAAUGGUGGGAUACUACCCUGGCUGUAUGACCAUUCUAACCCGCCACGCUUAGCGCGUGGGGAGACAGUGUCAGGUGGGCAGUUUGACUGGGGCGGUCGCCUCCUAAAGAGUAACGGAGGCGCCCAAAGGUUCCCUCAGAAUGGAUGGAAAUCAUUCGCAGAGUGUAAAGGCACAAGGGAGCUUGACUGCGAGACUGACAAGUCGAGCAGGGACGAAAGUCGGGCUUAGUGAUCCGGUGGU
rnacentral:rRNA from 1 species